UGGGGAAUAUUGCACAAUGGAGGGAACCCUGAUGCAGCGACGCCGCGUGAACGAAGAAGGCUUUCGAGUCGUAAAGUUCUUUUAUAUGGGAAGAUAAUGACGGUACUAUAAGAAAAAGCCCCGGCUAACUACGUGCCAGCAGCCGCGGUAAUACGUAGGGGGCUAGCGUUGUCCGGAAUCACUGGGCGUAAAGGGUUCGCAGGCGGAAAUGCAAGUCAGGUGUAAAAGGCAGUAGCUUAACUACUGUAAGCAUUUGAAACUGCAUAUCUUGAGAAGAGUAGAGGUAAGUGGAAUUUUUAGUGUAGCGGUGAAAUGCGUAGAUAUUAAAAAGAAUACCGGUGGCGAAGGCGGCUUACUGGGCUCAUUCUGACGCUGAGGAACGAAAGCGUGGGUAGCAAACAGG
rnacentral:rRNA from 1 species